rnacentral:rRNA from 1 species
CAGGAUGAACGCUAGCUACAGGCUUAACACAUGCAAGUCGAGGGGCAGCAUGUGGUUGCUUGCAACCAAUGAUGGCGACCGGCGCACGGGUGAGUAACGCGUAUCCAACCUUCCCCUUAGUAGAGGAUAGCCCGGCGAAAGUCGGAUUGAUACUCUAUGUUCUUCAAUGCGGACAUCUAAGUUGAAGCAAAGAUUUAUCGCUAAGGGAUGGGGAUGCGUCUGAUUAGGUUGCAGGCGGGGUAACGGCCCACCUGGCCUACGAUCAGUAGGGGUUCUGAGAGGAAGGUCCCCCACACUGGUACUGAGACACGGACCAGACUCCUACGGGAGGCAGCAGUGAGGAAUAUUGGUCAAUGGGCGCGAGCCUGAACCAGCCAAGUAGCGUGCAGGGAACCGACUGCCCUAUGGGUUGUAAACUGCUUUUAUCAGGGAAUAAAGUGAGGCACGCGUGCCUUUUUGUAUGUACCUGAUGAAUAAGGACCGGCUAAUUCCGUGCCAGCCGCAGC